GACGCUGGCGGCAGGCUUAACACAUGCAAGUCGAGCGCCCGCAAAGGGGGAGCGGCAGACGGGUGAGUAACGCGUGGGAACAUACCCUUUGGUUCGGAAUAACUCAGGGAAACUUGAGCUAAUACCGGAUACGUCCGUAAGGAGAAAGAUUUAUCGCCAAAGGAUUGGCCCGCGUCCGAUUAGCUAGUUGGUGAGGUAACGGCUCACCAAGGCUACGAUCGGUAGCUGGUCUGAGAGGAUGAUCAGCCACAUUGGGACUGAGACACGGCCCAAACUCCUACGGGAGGCAGCAGUGGGGAAUAUUGGACAAUGGGCGCAAGCCUGAUCCAGCCAUGCCGCGUGAGUGAUGAAGGCCUUAGGGUUGUAAAGCUCUUUUGUCCGGGAAGAUAAUGACUGUACCGGAAGAAUAAGCCCCGGCUAACUUCGUG
rnacentral:rRNA from 1 species